rnacentral:tRNA from 1 species
GCUCCCGUGGACAAGUGGGCUAAGUUGGUGGCCUUUCAAGCCGCAGACGCGGGUUCAAUCCCCGCCGGGAGUACCA